CUUGGGUCUGCACACCGGUCCUGUUAGUUUUGCCAACUCUGUUUUCCUUCAUCGGAACUUACAUCUGAGACAAAUAGAAAGCAGCCCAGAGAACAGGAAGGGGAAACGAGUGAGGAGAGCUGAAGUCUUGGUCCUACCGAGAGCUGCCAGGAACUCGUGGCACCCUGGGAGCCGCCAUAGCUGGACACUGAGGGAGACUGGAAUGGGAGUCGAGGCAAAGUCCUGUUCCUUCUCACAGGCCUGCAGCUGAACCAGCACCUGAUGGAGCUGAGGGAGGGACAGAGUCAUGGUGCCAGGGCAGCCUAGAUCCAAGGUGAUGGUGCACCUCUGUCACCCUGGUUGCUCUGUGGUUUUGCCAGAAGCAUAGCUGCUGGUGACAGGAUAUGCUCAGGACCACUCUCAUCAGGACAGGACAAAGCCCAGAUAGGGCCAACAACCAUCACAGACAAGAAGACUGGGUAAGCAGCUUACCCAGCAGGGCCUGGAGAGUGCUACUGCAUUGCUGCAGCCUGUCGCCUGGGUCUGAGGUUGGGAAGAAGACGGCUGCCGGCAGCCCACUGGCCGCAGGGUCCAGCCGGAAGCCCACUGCGGUGAGGAGAGCCUGCCAUCCAGGGAUGCCGCCCACUUUGUUCUCGACGCUCUGCUGAGAUGUAUACAUGGCAUUGCGCUGUCCAUUCUGGAUCCGCUGCAGGGACUUCUCCACCUGGUGGGGAUGGGGCAGUCAGAGACCCAGGGUUUUGAAUUGGGUGCCCAGUGACAGACACUGUCCACUGGUGCUGAGAGCUGUGGCUUCCUUCUGAGGGUGACCUGGAAGGUGGUGGCUGUGCCUCCAGGGACUGAGUAUGAGGGAGAGCCUUGGCACCCAGAGCCUUGCUUCCCGCCCUCCCGUGGCUGCAGAAUGGCAUCUGCUCCCUACCUGCC